GAUGAUUGGGGUGAAGUCGUAACAAGGUAGUCUUAUCGGAAGGUGCGGCUGGAUAACCUACUUUAUAAGGA
rnacentral:rRNA from 1 species